UCUGAGAAACAUGAUGAUAGGCAGGGAUCUUUCCUCCCAUGUUUCAAUACCUACAUACCUAUUGAAAGGGAACAGUAGGUAAAACAUUUCCUAAAGUUGAAGUGAGAGCUUCAUAGAUUCUUGGUUACUUUAUUUUUUUUAAUGCUUUACAUUUGAUACAACUAUUAAAGAUCAAUUUUAAAAAUAGCUUUCCAGUAAUAUAUUUUAAGUAAUAUAUAUUUUAAUAUCUAUGUAAAAAGUGACAGUGGAAGACUUUGAAUUUCUCAUAUAUGGUAUGUUUAACGUAGGACCUCACUGUUAAGGCACAAAUUGUUACAAAGGAAGUUACUCUAAAGACACUCAGAUUAUUUCCAGAAAAUGCAAUAAGGGGAAUAGUUUUGAAGUUUAUUUUUUAUUUUAAAAGAAUAUCAACUUAUUUACCACAAGCUAUUUUUUUUCCUUCUGGCUUAUAAGGUUUGUACAGACUGGUUUGGUAAAUGCUAAACUUUUGUGUCUUUUUGCCUUUUUAAAGGAAUUGUUAACAUUGGAAUUGAGGGUAUGUACAGAGAAGUUGGUGUCAACACCAUUUAAAAAGUCAUAUUUUUUCACAAAUAUAGAAAAAUCAUUUUACAUAAGAAUUUUAAGUAUUUGCAAUAAAUAUAUGUAUAUAGAUUGUAUGUAUUCAUAUAUUCUUAUUUUUCAUUUUAUUAUUAAGUAAAAGAUAAUUAAAGUGAAAAUAAAAACCUUGGACUUUUUGGUGAAUCUUGAGGUCUGACAUCCAUCUGAGAGCGGUGUGGGUAAGGGCCCUCAGCUGUUGCCUUAUAUUAUUACCAUUGGAAGAUUACAACAGAUUGUAUAGAAGGGUAAAAUGAGAAAUUUGGUGAUAAACAAAUCAGGGUAGCAUAUUUCUUUCAGAACUCUAGUAAAAAUAUUAAACUUGCCUAAUCUGUCUGUCUCUGCUUUCACCCUUGAACUGUUCUGUCUCUUAACCAUGGGAUGUUACUGGGAACGUUGAAAAACAGACAAACACAAAAACAUGGUGCAUUCCUUUUUUUUUUUUUUUAAUGUGCCCACUGUUUGCUUCUAAAACAAAGAAUGGUAAGAAAAUAUCUCAGGGGUAAAAAUAGGUUUUUCUUUCUCAACUGUGGUUAAUAAUUCAUUAGCAAACAUUCACUGCCACAACCUUCUAAGCGAUAGGAGUAUGUGAAGAAAUAAUCCCAUGAAGAUAAUCAAAAACUUGUUUUCUCUUUACCAGUUCUUCUCUGAGAAGUAAGUUUCCUAACUGGUUCUGUAUCCUUCCUGAUUGAUCCGGUGAGGGAGUUUCAAAACCAGUUUUAGGUCCUUCCUAAUUGAUCUGGAGAGCUAGAAGAGCUAGGAGAGCUUGGAUUUUGAUCUCCCCUGUGUCAGGAAGGGCAUUUAUGCAAAUGAGGACUCAGCCAGAUAUUAGGAGAGCUUAACUGCCAGUCUAUAUCCCAUACCUACAGAUAGCCUGGAAUCCUGCUGUUCAAGAGAAUUUUGUGGUUGCAAAUACUUGGUUUUAGGAUAUGAUUGAAGGAGCAAAAUGAUACCUAGAUAGUCUUUGGAAAUAGAUAUCUAGUCUAUUCUUUAAAAAUGAAUAAUUUAUAGAUUUAUUGAUGAAAUAAAAAAUAAGGUCAGAACUCCACGAAUGUAUCUUAGUGACCCAUGAAACUGACUCUUCUAGUUUCCUAGUUCUCCCCUUAAUUCCUCAGCUGUGAUUAUUUCACUGAUAAAAGUAGCAUAUUUUGGAAAUUAAUAAGGAUUUAUAGAAUGCUUUUUUUAAAAGAUUGCCUUGUUAUCUUUCAAAAAUUGAAAUUUCAAACAUUGGGGUUGCCCAAAGACAUUGAAGAUCAUUUACCACUCCAAGAGAACAGCAUUCUAAAUCUUUGCUUAAAAUAUGCUUUUUCUAAAGGAAAUUUUCGUAUGUCUCAGGGAACAUCUGCAUUCUUAUAAUUACCAUAUAUAAUAGAAGUGAAAGUGAAAUAUUUAAAUGUAUGUGAACCAGUCCAUUAUGGCCAUUUACAGACAGACACACACACACACACCGUUUCUAAUACAUAUUUAUAAUUAUUUAAAUGGGCCUCCUACCUCACCAGAAGUAAAAUUUCUUCAUGUUCAGGUUAAUGACAUAGGAGCCUAAAUGUGUAGUUGAUGUGCAGUUGAAUGAGAAAGAGCAAUAUACUAGAACACGACUUCAACUUGAAUCUCCAAUUGUCCAUUCUUUAUUUACAUCACAGUCUAGAAACCUGUGUUCAAUGCUUUUGACACUACUUGACCAAACGGUCUUAAGAAAUAAGAUUUUGCAUAAUGUGUCUAGCUGGUUUUGUGUACAAAUCAUGUUAUUCAUUGAUUCACAUAUUUCUCGGAGCACCUACUAUGUGCUAGGCACUGUGAUGAGGUUCAGGUUUUAUAAGGGUAAACAAAAGCAACCAGGUAGAUUGCAAAAGGUCUUCCUAACAUAUCAGUAGCCAUACAGCACAUGUCUAGUUCAGGGCUCAAGGAGUAAUAGAUACCACAUAUUUCCCAAGACACGAUGGAAAUUUAAAUAUAAAUGAGUUAUGGAAGGGACGUGUUUGAGGCACUGUUUGAAACCAUGGCAAAACAUGAAGAGCGAAAGGAAAGGCAUUGCCCCUAGGUAAAAUAACAUGGAAGUGAAGAAGAUGUAGAAUUCUUAAUAGAAACUUAAAUUUCUUAGUAACAUCUUAGUUGAAGAGAGAAUCCCGUUCAAUUAAUUCUGGUCAGUGCACCCAGAAAGAUGCUAUAAUCUUAACUAACCCUUUCCAAUAACUCUUAGGUAAAUAAUGUAGCCUGCCUUUCCCUAAUGUUCAAACCGAAAGGAAGCUAAAGGGAAUUAAAACUAAACCUUGAUUUUCAUUUUGUAGUCUGGUGAGAAGGAAGAGAUGUUGCAUCCCUGUUUUUUCUCCAUAAUGGAUAAAACUGGUGUUCUAAAGUUUUUAUUCUAGUACAGUAGAAUUGGCUCCCCCAUCCCCCAUUAUGAAGUCACAGAAUUUUUAACUACAAGAAACUUCAGCAGUACCUUAGUCCUUUUUAAUGGCCUAAAUUCCCAAUUUUUACUUUAAGAUUUUCUGGUUAAAAAAAAAAUUUUUUUAAGAUAAAUCAUUGUAUUUUGUGAGUGCUUAUUCUUGAAUUUUCCUUAUCAUUUAUCAUUAACUUGGAUUGUUGGAUUUGCAACUCAAAUUCUGCAUGCCAAAAUAUCCAUAUUCACCUUUAAAAGAGGUAUUUGGUGUAUUCCACCAUGAAAUGUCCCAACUUUGCCCAGGAAGUAGGAGGGUGGGUAUCCUGUAUUUUCCUAAUACUUGGUGACCUUAGAAAACCAAGUUUCUUUUACAGAGAUGUAUAAACUGAGGAAUCUCUAUACCUCCGUGGAGCUUUCACUCUUAAUCAGUAAAGACUAUCUCUAUAAGAAAGACUUCCCUAAGAAAGACAGGAAGGAGGGAUUGAGCCUGGAAGGGAGAGCCAGAGAUGAUCAGGCCAUAGAAAUGGGCUGUGACGAGAUAGUGUGUUCUCCUGAAGAAUAACUUCCAACUCUAUUCCUGGUUCUUCAAACUCAAAAGGAGGCUAAAGGGAAAUAAAAAAAGCCCACUGAUUUCCAUCUUGACUGCAAAACCCACAGAAUGCCUGGGGGAGAAAAAAGGUAAACCCAAGAUUGGAUUUAAAAUGGGUUUAAGUAAACUGAAUUAUUCUUAACUUACCCUUUUAUGGAGUUUUUUUUUUUUUUUAAGGUUUUGAGUUCACAUAAUGUUAAAUUGCCAUGAUUAGAAUGUGAAAUUUGAUUUGAGACAUUUUAUGGGCAAGGUGAUGGUUUUCUAUUGAGUUAUCCGGUGGCAGCUUUUGCUGCUGCUCAGGAUUUAGUGUUGUGCACCUGUGUCUGUUAAAUAAUGCCGAUGUUGCUCAUAAACACUAUUUUGCCAACUUGAGUCAACAAUUUUAUUAACUUUAAUCGUGGGUUCUCUUUCUAAAUAUUUAAAAUUUAAAUUAGCCCAAUAAGAAAGCAGUGCAUUAAAUGUUAUCAAAAUACUUGAAGAUACCUUAGAACUAUUAUUUUACACACAGCCUGUUCCCUUUCUAUGGAAAGGGUGGUACAAAAACUUUUACUUUAUUACUUUCUUUCCAAAAACCAAUAUCUGAUGUUUCCAGAUACCUAGAGCUUGGAAAUGAUGGAGUUGGACUUUGGCCCGAGGUUAGCAAUUCUCAUUUUAGGUUUUUGGGCAAUAGCAAUUUGAAGACCUGGGUGGUAACCCCAGCUGAACGUAUAUGUAAUCACUUAACACAAACUUUAAAGUAAUGAAACUUUUCCAGAGUCUCAGAUUUGGUUUCUCCUCUGUUGUUGCAUAAGGAGAUGGAUUCUGGGCUGGGAAGGACCUAACCGUUUGUUCCUUGAUAAUAGACUACUGAUUGAAGGGCAGGCUCUUACUGAAUUCGUGAAAUUCAUAGAAUCCAUAAAAGAUCUCGAGUACAUGACUAAUGAAACUCUGGAAAUAAACCUUUCUCAGCCAUAAGUGCUAUGACCUAUUUUUUUUUAAAACCCGUCUUAAUCCUGUGACUCAUUGCAUCACACCUUAAAACUUUUUCACCAGCACCAAGAGAAAUCAGAAUGGAAGAAAUGACCUUAUGUUGGUCUUGUUCACUUAAUCUUUGUGCACAUAGGCCUUAGCACUUUGACAGAUAAAACUCUGCCUUUUAGCUCCCCUCUCACUAUCGUCUUUAUUCCUCUCACUUUUAGACCGUUCCUUUUAUUGGUUGUAUAAAACUACCUUCCUCAGAAUUGAAUGUACAAUGUUUCUGCACAUGGGCA
rnacentral:lncRNA from 1 species